GACGAACGCUGGCGGCGUGCCUAAUACAUGCCAGUUGAGCGCUGAAGGUUGGUACUUGUACCAACUGGAUGAGCAGCGAACGGGUGAGUAACGCGUGGGGAAUCUGCCUUUGAGCGGGGGACAACAUUUGGAAACGAAUGCUAAUACCGCAUAAAAACUUUAAACACAAGUUUUAAGUUUGAAAGAUGCAAUUGCAUCACUCAAAGAUGAUCCCGCGUUGUAUUAGCUAGUUGGUGAGGUAAAGGCUCACCAAGGCGAUGAUACAUAGCCGACCUGAGAGGGUGAUCGGCCACAUUGGGACUGAGACACGGCCCAAACUCCUAUGGGAGGCAGCAGUAGGGAAUCUUCGGCAAUGGACGAAAGUCUGACCGAGCAACGCCGCGUGAGUGAAGAAGGUUUUCGGAUCGUAAAACUCUGUUGGUAGAGAAGAACGUUGGUGAGAGUGGAAAGCUCAUCAAGUGACGGUAACUACCCAGAAAGGGACGGCUAACUACGUG
rnacentral:rRNA from 1 species